CUGCUUGACAAUCCAAAUUCAGAUGCUAUUGUGUCGACUUUAACGGCUUGUUUCUUGUUGCUUUUUGCGAUUUAUAACGAUAUUUGUGUGUAUUUUAAGACUUUGUGCCCACAACGAAAGCGGUAAACGAGUAUAUUAUAAAAGCGACCGGUUUUUCUCCCGUUUUUGUGUGGAAAAAAUGACAACGUAGCGAUGGUGUUUAUCCAGAAGCGAAAAACAGUAUUUUACUGAGAUUUUAUUUAUUUAUUUAUUUAGCUUCGCCAACUAGGGCAGGGUCACCACAACAGCAUAUGCCAAUUACUGUGAGCCCUUUUUACCUAACCCACCCUGUCAACUUUCCCUGUGGGAGGAAACCGGAGUACCCGGGGAAAACCCACGGCUUUCGGCAGAGCGUUGACUUUUACUCUUUUUACAUGGGGACUGGGUUCGAGUCGCAUUGAGAAGGUACUUAGUGAGACUCGAACCUGCAGCCUCAGAGGUGAAAGGCAAGUGCGCUAACCACUUGGCCACCGAAGCCCCUUACAAUUAUUUUAACGUCAAUAUAAAGGUUUAUUCCGUGAAGAAUCAAGACAACCAUGGAAUGGAAGUAUAAUUUUUCGAAUUUGAC